rnacentral:rRNA from 1 species
CAAUAGCGUAUAUUAAAGUUGUUGCAGUUAAAAAGCUCGUAGUUGAAUUUCGGGUCCCCGCGCUCGGCGCUUCAUUGUGCCGUCGUGGUGUCCCUCCUCGCCGUAAGGCGUCCUUUACUGUGAAAAAAUUAGAGUGUUCAAAGCAGGCAAUCGCUUGAAUACAUUAGCAUGGAAUAAUAAGAUAGGAUCUUGUCUAUUUUGUUGGUUGCGGACAACGAUAAUGAUUAAUAGGGAUAGUUGGGGGUGUCCGUAUUGAGCUGUCAGAGGUGAAAUUCUUGGAUUUGCUCAAGACGAACUACUGCGAAAGCAUUUGCCAAGGAUGUUUUCAUUAA